UACGAAGGGGGCUAGCGUUGCUCGGAAUUACUGGGCGUAAAGGGUUCGUAGGCGGUGUGGCAAGUCGGGAGUGAAAUCUCUGGGCUCAACUCAGAGACUGCUUCCGAAACUGCUGUGCUGGAGUGUGGGAGAGGCGCGUGGAAUUGCAGGUGUAGCGGUGAAAUGCGUAGAUAUCUGCAGGAACACCCGUGGCGAAAGCGGCGCGCUGGACCACUACUGACGCUGAGGAACGAAAGCUAGGGGAGCAAACAGG
rnacentral:rRNA from 1 species